CAGUAGCCGCGGUAAUACGUAGGUGGCGAGCGUUGUCCGGAAUCAUUGGGCGUAAAGGGAGCGCAGGCGGGCAUGUAAGUCUUUCUUAAAAGUUCGGGGCUCAACCCCGUGAUAGGAAAGAAACUACAUGUCUUGAGUACAGGAGAGGAAAGCGGAAUUCCCAGUGUAGCGGUGAAAUGCGUAGAUAUUGGGAGGAACACCAGUGGCGAAGGCGGCUUCCUGGACUGCAACUGACGCUGAGGCUCGAAAGCCAGGGGAGCGAACGGGAUUAGAUACCCCAGUAGUCCCUGUCUCUUAUACA
rnacentral:rRNA from 1 species